UCCAGACUCCUACGGGAGGCAGCAGUGGGGGAUAUUGCACAAUGGGGGAAACCCUGAUGCAGCGACGCCGCGUGAGUGAAGAAGUAUUUCGGUAUGUAAAGCUCUAUCAGCAGGGAAGAAAAAAGACGGUACCUGACUAAGAAGCCCCGGCUAACUACGUGCCAGCAGACGCGGUAAUACGUAGGGGGCAAGCGUUAUCCGGAUUUACUGGGUGUAAAGGGAGCGUAGACGGCAAUACAAGUCGGAAGUGAAAUACCCGGGCUUAACCUGGGAACUGCUUUGGAAACUGUAUGGCUGGAGUGCUGGAGAGGUAAGCGGAAUUCCUAGUGUAGCGGUGAAAUGCGUAGAUAUUAGGAGGAACACCAGUGGCGAAGGCGGCUUACUGGACAGUAACUGACGUUGAGGCUCGAAAGCGUGGGGAGCAAACAGGAUUAGAUACCCGUGUA
rnacentral:rRNA from 1 species